GACGAACGCUGGCGGCGUGCUUAACACAUGCAAGUCGAACGGAAAGGCCCUGCUUUUGUGGGGUGCUCGAGUGGCGAACGGGUGAGUAACACGUGAGUAACCUGCCCUUGACUUUGGGAUAACUUUAGGAAACUGGGGCUAAUACCGGAUAGGAUCUACUGCUGCAUGGUGGGGGUUGGAAAGUUUCGGCGGUUGGGGAUGGAUUAGCGGCUUAUCAGCUUGUUGGUGGGGUAGUGGCUUACCAAGGCUUUGACGGGUAGCCGGCCUGAGAGGGUGACCGGCCACAAUGGUACUAAGAGAAGGACCAGAAUCCUACGGGAGGCAGAAGUGGGGAAUAUUACACAAUGGGCGGAAGCCUGAUGCAGAAACGCCGCGUGCGGGAUAACGGCCUUCGGGUUGUAAACCGCUUUGGAAUGUGACGAAGCGUGAGUGACGGUAAUGGGUAAAGAAGCACCGGCUAACUACGUG
rnacentral:rRNA from 1 species